GGAGGGAGCGGGGGCGUGUGAGGCCUCAGAGUGCUGGUCCCCAGGGGAGCCCUUUGGGGGGGGACAGGGAUUUCCCUCGAUGCCCGCAGGUGCUUCAAGCUCAGCGCCCUUCGGCACCCGCUCCCCGCGGCCGGUGCUGGCUCUGUCCUUUCCAGUUGCGUUUCUUGUUGCUUUUCUAGUUAGUCCUCCCUGCAGCAGCCGCGAUUUUUCACCAUUUUUUAGGGAGGUCCCUAGAAUUAUUAGGGUUGGAAGGGACCCUGGAGAUAUCCAGCCCAACCCCUCUGCCAAAGCAGGGUCGUCUGGAGCAGGUGACACAGGAACGUGUCCGGAGAGGGAGCGACAUCCCUGGGCAGCCUGUCCAGUGCUUCCCCACUCCGAAUAAAGCAGUUCUGCCUUACAUCCAGGUGGAACUUGUGGUUUAGUUGAUGGCCUUUAGUCCUCGUCCUAUCGCUGGGCACCAUCCUCUUGGCACAUUCCUUUAAGGUAUUUAUAUCUCUUGAUGCGGUCCCUUUUCAGUCCUCUCUAGAUUAACCACUAGGUUGGUGGUACGUCAGAAUAAAAAGCCACCACGCUGUGCGGUGCCGCUGGCCUUGCAUGCCUUCCCUCUGCACAGGGUUUAACUGAACUUCCAAGAGAUUACACCUUGCCAAUGGGACUGGUUUUAACAAAUUAACAUCUCAAUGUAACGAAGGUUGAGUAUCAAAGUCAGUAAAACAGCCAUUUGUUUCUAUAGAAACUAAACACCUUAGCAGGGGUUGCACCAAGCUUUGCUUUUCGUGAUUUUUUUAUUUUUUUUAUAACUGGAAUUUGCUGAUUUUGCAGUCUGCUCUUGCUUGUUUUCAGGGAAUCAGAAAUUUGGAAAACUGACUCAAAAUUAUUUUUAGCUUGUGAGGAAUGAUGGUAAUCACAUGAUAGUGUGGUUACCAAAAAACUUCUAGAACCUAAUUCAGUGAGUUAGAAUUUAUUUCUGAGUCUCUAUAAUCACAAACCCUAAAAGUCUAGGUUUGUUUUCCCCACUUUCAGACCUUAAGGAACUUUGUCAUUUCCCAUCUUCCGCUCCCUUCUCAGGCUCUUUCUCCAGUACAGCUGAAAGGACCUAAUCCAAGGGCUGAUGCAUCUGCCUGCUGCCCAGAGAUUUGGGGAGUUUGUGAAGGUUUUUUUUUUCCAACUAUCACUAAUGUGAGGAAAUGUCAUAGAAGAAAUAUUCAAUUGAUGAAUUCCAGAUUUCUUAUUCUCAGCUGAAGUUUCCCUGUAUGUUCUGUUCUCAAGUGGCAGUGAUACUCAAAUGCCUUCAAGAAUACAAGUAAGUAAUUCAGCUUAUCCUGGGAGAAAGAUACCAAGAGGUUUCUGGAUAUCUACAAGGCAUGGAAUAGGACUCAUUCUGUUUGGUAGUGCAACAGUGCAGUAGCUGUGCUCUUAAAAACUAGUAUGUCCAUGUUUACCUUUUUACCUUUUUUCCCUUUUUUUCCUGUUAAGACGGAGCUUAGAGUUUAUUUAUUAUUUAGUUCUGUGUUUGAUUGUACCUAAGUUUGUUAGGUUUUUUCUGCCUUUUUUUUUCCAACGUCAGUCUUUAUGCUUUUCCUGAAAGUAUUUGUGGUGUUUAUCACAGUGAAAGAUUCUCGUGAGCUGCGCUGGUCUCAGUUACUUUAUCAGAAUCACUUGUAUGUUUUGAUAACCACCUGAAAAACCUUGCUUCUCAGUUUGAUUUUUUUUCCCCAGACAAAACAAAAAAAGGAUAUUUUCCCUUGGCAGUCAUUCCUCUUUUCCAUUGAACAGUAGGAAGACAGGUCAUGUGAAUUCUUGCAGAGACCUUCUGAAUCCUGUCAAGAAUUUUUGGGGUGUUUGCCUAACAUGUCUGGGAUCAAAGUGAGGUCUCUGCCAAGUGUUCACUGGAGUUUGUAGAUCCACCAGUACCUGGUAGGCUGAGAUUUUGACACUCACUUGACAUUGCUUCUCACCAUGGUUGUAGUCCCUCACUUGCAACUUUCUCUUCCAGCUCCCACGGAGACACUUCUGAACAUUCAUUCCUUCUGACUGUGCAUCCAGGGCAUCUCUUCUUGUCCAGGCCCCACCUCAAAGUUUACAUGAUCACUUUUAUAUGUGUAGAACAGUCCUGUCUGCUGAAAAAUGCAGCUGAGCAUGACAAGAGGAGCUUACCAGACAUCCUGGGCACUGUGCAGGAGCUGAGGGAAGAGAGGCUGUGGGCAGCUGCUUUCUGACUGUCCCUGUGAGGUGACGUGGGCAGAGCUGGUGUGCACAGUGCACAUGGUGGGUGUAUCUCUGAGAGUUUGUGUCACCUGGCCAGGUAUUCCUGUGUGGGCAGCUGUAAAACAGAGUUGUGUUCAUUUGUGUCAGAGCAGCUUCCUUUAAGUUCCUGCCAAGGAAAGACAGAAUUUGUUUGAAUUUUGUCAACUUUAAGGUGGGCAUAUGUUCCUAGGGGGUUGUCUGGGUUUUCUAUGGAAUUGCCUUCUUCUUAUCUGUCUGCAGGCUGUAAAGGGAGUCCAGGUAAUUAAGCAGGAUAAGAAAAGGUUUUUUUUAUUUGAUUGGUUUAGCUACUCUUGUCCUAACCAUAUUUACCUUCAAAAAUGGCAGUUUUGGAAAAAACAAGUCACCUUUAUAAAAUGUGUGGGUGAAAUGCAUUCACAGCAAUAAUUCUGAAAUUAUUGCAGAGUAAAUUUGUUUCUGGCAGGGAAAGGAGUGGAGACCUUCCAAGUCAAAAGCAAGUGAAUUAUUCUAUGGACUCCAGUGGGGCCAGAAUUUACCUUUCAGCAUACAUACUUUCAGCCUACUUUUUAGCUGCUGCUCCUCUGUCAUUAAAUAGCCAUUUGUCAUGGAUGGCUAUUUAUAAUAUAGGAAGUAGUUAGUUCUUGGGUUUUAAUUCCCCCUGAAAAAAAAUAUUAAAAUUUAAACAUUUCCAGAGAAGUUCAGUGUAGCAUAAAGCAGGUGCCAAGUCCCCAGCCAUCCCCCUUUUGAGGGUGGUUUUGUUAGCCAGCUCUAGUUGUUCCUCACAGGCUGAACAUCCACAGCUUUCCCAGAAAUAAUGAGGCACUUUGGGAAUGGAGUUUCCCAUUUGGUUUUACCCCAAAGGAGGCCAGGUUGUGUGCUCUCAGGCUGCCCCACAACGUCAAAUAAGACAGUGGGAGGAAGAUGAGUUUCAAGCCCAAACUGCUGAUUUGAACAAUAGCACAGGCACACAGAGAGAAAACUGAUCUGCCUGUGAAAUAGCUCCAAAGCAGCCUCCAUUUACAUCUGGCACUUUAAGCAAACCAGAGGCUGUGUCAUUUGAGAAGUGGCUUAAAAACAGUGGCUGUUCAGGAGAAAUUUGGCCUCUGCAAAAUAAGUGUACACAGAGGCUACAAAUCCACCACCCCAUCAGGAGGUGCAGGCAAAGUGUCAAAGCCCAUUCCCUUUAAAUGAUGGGUUUUGCUUUCAGGGAAGAUUACACCUUCUGUUAAAAAUCUUACUGGCUUUUUUCUUCUUUGUUUUUCCCUUUUCAAUCACUAAGGAUAUUCACAUAGAAUGUUGUUUUUUGUUGUUCUUCCAUGUCCCUACAGCAUCUUCCCUAGAUGAGAACACAGUUGCAGUGGGUCUUGCAACCAGUCACAGAAGUGAUUAAAUCUCAAAAAAAGUAGAUGUUAAAUUCAUGUGAAGAGAGGCAGCUCUAACAUUUGGGAGUCCCACGAAAUAGGAUUUUUAUGGUGAUGGUACUUCAAUACUGAAAGGCAGAAAAAAAAAUUGCAGUGGUGACAGUGGUCAGUAGGAGAUGCAGCACAUGAAGAACUGCUGGGAACUGCUUUGACAGUUAACAUUUAGCUUCACUGAAACUAAUGGAGGAAAGAAAAUAUGAGUAAAUAGUCUGGAAGGUUUUUCUUCCAUUGCAGUUAAGAGGAAAGGGACACAGUUAACUGAUGACUGAAUAUUUUAUUGUGAAUAACAGGAAUGGCAACACUAUGCCUGCAUAUGUGUUGGUGAGCAUAUUUCUAUGGACAGGCAGGGAGCUGACAAAAAACUGCAGGCAGAUUUGCAAAUUCAGAAUUACUUGCUACUAACUGAACUACUAACAGGUAGUUUCACGUGCCUUUUGCUGUGAACUGAGACUAAUUAUUGGGGCUUAAAUGUUUAAUACUGUGUAUCUACUUUGUCUGUUUUUUAACAAAAGUGUUAAGCAAAGGGUUUAAAUAUUGCAGAAUGGUAAAGGAGAAGAAAUAUGGCCCUAAGUCAUCUUUGAAACAUUUUCAUGAAAACUGUAAUGCCACUAGAAUCUGAAGGAGGGCACUCAGUAUACUAUUACUUGCAGGAAACUUCAAAGUUUGAAUUUGGGUUAUGAGCACUGGGCAAAAUAAAAAUUGAACUAAAUAAGCCAGGUAGAAACUUGUGAGCAUUUGGCAGAUCUGUUCACUCAUGAUUACGUACUUCUACUUGGCCUUUUCCCCCUGUACACUUUGUACAACUUACCUAGACCCAGCUAAAUUUGCCUGAAGUUUUUCCUGUCACUGUGCCUUCCAGCUGGCAGGGGCACCCCUUGGCUGCUCCUCUGGGCAGAAUGCCUGCUGGACACACUGCUGGGAUGGAGCUGGUGUCCACUGGGAAAUGUCUUCUUGUGUCACCUAGCUUUUGGGACUACAGAGGCAAGAGCAGAAAUACAUUGGUUCAGGAUGUUCCAUUUAGAAAUGCUGUUCAUUUUUAAUGCACAAGUUACAGGCUUUUGCCUGAGGAAUGUACAGUUUAUAGCAUAUGAGGCACUAGGACAGGAGUUCAAAUAGGCUUCAGUCAUAAUGACAGGUGACUCUACCCAUUUAGCCUUCUAUUUCCUAGGAUUUAUUCUGCUGUUCUGAUAAGCUGUGGUUUAAAACACACUGAAGUGCCAGUACAGGCUAAUAGCCCCUACUCCUACACUAAAACACACCACUGAGAGUAGCAGACACUGUGCUUUGUAUCUGUCUCCCAGGGUGAGAGAGAGAAUAGCUGAGAGGUAUGGGGCUCUGCCCACAAAGACCUCCUCACAGGCUGUCAGCUGAAUUUGGAGUGGGAAUCAGAUCCAGAAAACAGAUACCUGAAUUUAUGUCUCUAAUCUCCCACACUGGGCAGUGGAGACUUCGUUAUGGCAGUCAAUGGAGCUGGGAGUGUGAUUCAUGUGAGGAAAUGUAGGUACCCGUCCUCUGUUAAGCUGAAUCCCUCCGAACAGUGGGAGGUGGGACACAGCUCAUCUUGUGUACACUGAGCACACAGCUGCAGCCUGGAAGCCCACCCCUGGUAAGGAUGCGCUGAUUGCAGGGAUUCGGUCUCCAGUUGCUGCAUUGUUUCUGCAGUUUAAUGAGAGGGGCGGGCUGGACCCCCCCGGCAAAGGCUGGAGCUGCAGAGCCCUCUGGAGAGCCAGAGAGGCUGAGCGUGUGUAGGCAAGUAGCUUCAUCCCCUCUGUGAGGGGUGGGUGAGCACAUCAGAUGUUAUUUAGGUAGUCAAAAUGGCACUCAAGGCUGUGCAAUAAAGAAACAACAUCCCUCUGUAAAAAUUAUUUUACAACCUCUAUUGUCAAGUUCAGACAAAUAGACUUAACCAAACCUUCUUAGGAUAUGAAACAUUUUAGUAUAUACUACUUAUGUCUGAACCUAUGUUUUAGGUUUUAUUUUCCAGACAAAAGAGUAAUUUUAAAUUAUGCAAAUGAGCUGCCAAAGCAAAGCAUUAUGCAGAUUUGUGAGGCAGGCAGCAGUGUUAACCCUUGGUGCUGCAGCUUGCUGCAGAGAGAGCACUGCUGCAGCAGCUCUGCAUGAAUUCAUUCCAGCCCCUGAGCUCUUUAAUUACCACACUCCUGUGUCGGGGCCUGGGGAGUGAGGCUCACCUUCUGCACACCCCCAGUGCCCAGUGGAUUUAGGUGGAUGGAGGAGUUGUGUUUGCUGCAUUCUUCACCUCACAGUCCUGCCCACCACAAGCUCUACCCAAAUCUGGUCUGGAUGUCUCAGAAGAGACAAGUGUUGUUUCAUAUGGGUUGUUUCCAGAAUAUUUGAAGUAACUGUCAUGGGAGAAAUAUUAAAUUGCUUUUCAAAUGUCAGCACUGCAGUAACACUUUAAAAACAAUUGACACUAUCAGCUGUAAGUCCUCUAGCUUGCUGGCCUGGCUGGUACACACAAGAUGCACUAGCAGCCUUGACUUUCUGUAGAGGAAAGCUAUUAAAACAACUCCAUGUUGUGCUAAUUUGUGGAUUCAAUAGCUUAUUAUUCCACCCAGCUAUAAAGGUGGUGGGAAUAACUCUCAGUCAGGAGUAGAUGGGUUUUGAUAGAAAUCCAAAGUCUGAUCUGCUCUGGAAAUUUGCCCUGAUCUCUGCAACUCAUGCCAACAGCUGACAUAACCACACUGGUGCAAGCACUAGUACUGAGCAAGAAAUCCAAUGUUUUAUAGCAGUAAAGUUUGGCAAAUAGCAAGAGCAGGCAAAUCCCCAACAUGCAUGAGGAUGUGAGUGCAGCUAAUCUCUAGUGGAGGUGCCUGAUGAUGGGUUAAAAUAGUGGCAACCAAGCCGGGGGAAAGAGAGAGAGAGUUCACAUCGGGCAGUUCUGGAAGGCCUGGGUUUGUGCCUGAGUCAUGCCCAUGUGGGAUGCCAAGCCCUGUGAAUAUUGGAUUUAUUCAUCAUCAGGCAGGGAUGGAUCCUGGUGUGGGCAGGAAGGAGUCUGGCUGCAGUAUGAGGAGACUUGAAUCCACAUUUCCUCCUGCACUCCAGUUCAUAGAAUCGUACAAUAGAAUCACACAAUCGUAGUUGUUCAUGGCUGUCUGUGAGAGAGCUUACAGAGCAGUGCAGGUUCCAAGGAAAACACCAAGAAUACGUAUUUCUGUGCUGAAUUACUUCAGGAACAAACAAUGUCUCAGUGCUGCUCCAGGACACAGAGGUAAUCUGGGUUUCUCUCUUGCAUCCCCUUACACACAAACCCUUUAAAGUUUUCUCCACUCACCAAAUUGAUCCCGCACUUUCUUUCUAGUUAAAGGCGUCAUUUCAAGCUGCCUGUCAGAAGCUGCCUGUCUCAGCCAGUACACAAUACUGAAUAAACACUUCAAUAUGUUCAAACCUGGAUGUUAUCUGUGAAUUUACUGGCUUAAAACCUAUGGCCAUUUUUAAACUGGAUACACAUGUGUGCACACAAAGGUUAGCUCAGUUUAGCUACUUUGGUUUUGCUUGUUCUUAAGAGCAUUUUUGGCUUCAAAAUGUGAUGUCUUUCACAUAUUUGGAAGGAGUUGUCCAGAGCACAUGAUCAACAUCUGUUGGUUUUGAUAUGCCAGGGGAGCUACAUAAGAGAUUCAGAGAUCAGAGAAUACAUUGCUGCUCUGUAUAUUUGUUUUUAAAUUUGGAUUUUCUGUUUCAAAUUUGGAGUUUUUCUAUUACUUAGCAAUUUAAGCAAUAGGCUGAUGGUGUGGUUAGUAAAAAAAAAAAAAGCAUGAAACCCACUUAUAUUGGUUCAGGUUUUGUUAGUUUUGGAGGAAAAGAAUAUAAGGAUAAAAAGCUGAAAAGGAUAUAAAUCAGACACUGCUGCUACACCGCCAAUGCCUGGCCAGCUUAAAAGAACUAAACUAGUUUAAAUAGGCAGAAACACUGUUUUAUGAUGGCAAACAAACAAAAUCGAGCACAAAGAUCAUGGAAGGAAGUUGCUAGGAAACCUCUACGGUGCUGUGGAAAAGUUUUGCAGCACAGGCACCUGUAAGAGUAAUCACCACCUGCCAGCCUGGGCAUUUCCUAAAAGCGGGGAUGUAAAAUUGUAGUACACCUUGAUUUCUAUAAAGGCAGCCCCAGGAAAUGCCUUACAGCUCAUUUGAAGUCGGUGCAGCUUCAGGGGACUCUAAGCUGUUACAGAACCAUCUCUGAAGACUCAACACAGGUCUUGUCCACAGUAAUGCUGAAGCCCAAACUUCUGUGUCCAGGCAAGGUCUGCCCAAACUGCAGUCAUCUUAUUUAGGUUCUUAGCAAAGAUCUUUGCUUCUGUGAGCUCUUGCCCAUGCUGAGAUUUCAAUAAGGGGAACUGUAAGCUAGACUGGCCCUCUGCAGGCAUGGCCACAGAGUCUCCUCUCUUUUGCACUGACCUGCAGGGUGGCUUUGCCAGCAGAGAUUUCCUGCAGGCAUGCUGCUACCUCAGGUGGGUUCUCUGUAUGGAGAUACCUCAGAAAGCUGAGGUGCAUCAACCAAAAAUGUUACAACUGCAGGUCCACAGCGUACACAUGUUAAAACCCCAAGUUCUGUACCAAGUAGUUGUAAUUAUGAUGAUAUCUUAAUGAUGGUAUCUUAAUUCUUUUAGCUCUUGAUUUCUUUUUUUUUUACUUUCGUGUGACUUUCGUGUAACUUCAUAGUUUAACCAUUUAAUAAUUUAACCAUUUCUAUGAGGAAAUGGGUAGGUAAAAGACUCAGGAAUCAACAGGGACCACAUUUUUCCUUCAUCACAAAGUCAUCCAUCAGUGCAGCUUAUGACUGGGAUUAAGACAGGCAAUGUCUAUCAGGGGUUGCUAAGGAUUGCUUCUCUGCAUGCUUCCUUGGUAGCAUUUCGCAAAAGUGGACGAUAUGUGGUACAGUGAUGGAGGAAUGGCUGCUGUGAGCACAACGAACAGGGCUGUGAAAUUUCCAGGCUGUGAAAUUCCCUUUGUGUGGGAACCCCCUGAAGGUGUGUCACCAGCAAACUCCUGCCUGCCACCACCUGUCCUUGUUAUAUCAUUCAUUCUGCACUCCUCCCUGCCCACCUGGUGAAACGAUCCAUCAUUACAAGGCAUUAGCUCUCAAAAGGUGGACAAGGGGAUUUCCUGCUCCUUCAAAGAUAA